AAAAGAUGUCUCCCAUCAAGAAAGGGCAGAUUAAAAGCACCGCUUUUGGGUGAAGUGGCAGCAUUUUGUGUUGUUUGCUUCAAUCAGUGGUGUGACAGGG
rnacentral:snoRNA from 1 species